GUGGAUUAGAUACCCUGGUAGUCCACGCCGUAAACGAUGUCAACUAGCCGUUGGUCUUAUUCGUAAGAUUAGUGGCGCAGCUAACGCAUUAAGUUGACCGCCUGGGGAGUACGGCCGCAAGGUUAAAACUCAAAUGAAUUGACGGGGGCCCGCACAAGCGGUGGAGCAUGUGGUUUAAUUCGAUGCAACGCGAAGAACCUUACCUACCCUUGACAUCCAGAGAAUCUGUUAGAGAUAGCGGAGUGCCUUCGGGAACUCUGAGACAGGUGCUGCACGGCCGUCGUCAACU
rnacentral:rRNA from 1 species